UACGGAGGAUGCGAGCGUUAUCCGGAUUUAUUGGGUUUAAAGGGUGCGUAGGCGGGAUGCCAAGUCAGCGGUCAAAUACGGGGGCUCAACCUGCGCCCGCCGUUGAAACUGGCGUUCUUGAGUGGGCGAGAAGUACGCGGAAUGCGUGGUGUAGCGGUGAAAUGCAUAGAUAUCACGCAGAACCCCGAUUGCGAAGGCAGCGUACCGGCGCCCAACUGACGCUGAAGCACGAAAGCGUGGGUAUCGAACAGG
rnacentral:rRNA from 1 species